CGGGAUGGGCAGUGCAAUGCGGCUACUCCCGCCUGGAGGAAGCCAUUACAUAUGAUGGUGAUGGGUACGUUUCAGUGCCUUUGGAGUAUAUGCUGGGUCCCCUGGACUUGCCCACUGAGCACGAGUGCACACGGCUAUGUUGACCUCACGUGAGUAUGCCACCGAAACUUAACAACUUUACAAGUAUGUAGCGCAUGUAGCUACAGUAGCGAUGGAAUGCAAAAUUGCCACGCGGUCGCUAUGGGAGGUCUGUUGUCUCCCCUGUUUGUAGCAGCAAAUGUCGCGAGACUUGCUUGAACUCAUUUUCGAGAUGUCGGUUAUGACUGGCGUCGACCAUUGUCACGCUUCUUCCAGCCCGGUGGAUCGGGAUGGCUAAACGUCACUUCCGUUGCCUUGUUGGUGCGCAUUACAAGGGAUGAUUAGUUUUUCCAAUUGAUUGUUCUUGCUCCUUGGUACAGUUUGGCAACUGAACAGUUCAGCUUUUAGGCACAUACCUUCAGCUGAACCACGAGCAUUGAGUCAAGCGGCUGUAGGUCCUGCACUUCCUCACUUGUCAGCAAUUUGUUUCCAGUGUGUCAUCAGGAGUGUCUUCCCACAUGUGAACGACAGUGCACUGGCAUAAUUUGAAUUGACGUUGCAUCACCGGAUUAGUCAUGAUUUGGCGCUUGUUCUUGGAAGCGCUAAAUGAAGUGCGCUGAAGGUCGCUGCUGGCCUGGGCCAGUCUUUCUGGCUGCUGGGUUAGACGCCUCUGCCUUAUGCAUGCAUGUUUUUGCUUAAGCAACACAUUUGCCGUACGGUAUUGGCGUGGCCAUGAUCCUCACCUUAGGGUGCUCUCGCACGUUAGGCCGGGGCUGUUUCAGCGUGGCUUUUUCCUUGCUUGGCCCAUCGGUUCCGAUCAGGUGGGAGCUUCAGUGUACAAGGGUGAAUGUUUAAAGUUCAGCGUACAUGUCCUGCCGUUUAGGCGGCGGAGUAAUGCUUCUUCCUUCCCAAAUGUAUGGUGGUUAAAAAUACUGUGUGCCCGUAUAUCGGCGAAGUUAACAGGGCCAUGGUUAUGCGCCUAGAUGGACCCAUGUAAUUCAUACCUUUUCACUGGAGUAAGCAUACAGCUAGUUGGGAACUUUAAUAUUGAAGUUCCGAAAUCGCACAGUUUUUAAUCUUCAAGUUCCCAAGUCGCACAUCAGAGCAAGAGAAGCGGCCAGUUUGAGUAAUGACAAAGAGUAUGCGAUUGGCUCGAUUCAAAGCGGUUUCCAACCCAUUGUUUAAUCCCACAAAACAAAUCUUUAUGUAUACCAUAGGUG
rnacentral:lncRNA from 1 species